CAGCGCCACGGGAAUACGAAGGGUGCAAGCGUUACUCGGAAUUACUGGGCGUAAAGCGUGCGUAGGUGGUGGUUUAAGUCCGUUGUGAAAGCCCUGGGCUCAACCUGGGAAUUGCAGUGGAUACUGGGUCACUAGAGUGUGGUAGAGGAUAGUGGAAUUUCCGGUGUAGCAGUGAAAUGCGUAGAGAUCGGAAGGAACAUCUGUGGCGAAGGCGACUAUCUGGGCCAACACUGACACUGAGGCACGAAAGCGUGGGGAGCAAACAGGAUUAGAUACCCCCGUAGUCCCUGUCUCUUAUACA
rnacentral:rRNA from 1 species